rnacentral:rRNA from 1 species
UACGGAGGGUGCAAGCGUUACUCGGAAUUACUAGGCGUAAAGCGUAUGUAGGUGGUUAUAUAAGUCUAUGGUGAAAUUUCCUGGCUCAACUGGGAAGGGUACAUAGAUACUGUAUGGCUUGAGUUUUGAAGGGGGAGACGGAAUUCCUGGUGUAGCGGUGAAAUGCGUAGAUAUCAGGAAGAACACCGAUGGCGAAAGCAGUCUCCUGGUCAAAUACUGACACUGAGGUACGAAAGCUAGGGUAGCAAAC